CCUGACUGCUAUCGGAUUGAUACUAAGCCAUGCGAGUCAUUGUAGCAAUACAAGGCAGACGGCUCAGUAACGCGUAGUCAACCUACCCUAUGGACGGGAAUAACCUCGGGAAACUGAGAAUAAUGCCCGAUAGAACACUAUGCCUGGAAUGGUUUGUGUUCCAAAUGAUUUAUCGCCGUAGGAUGGGACUGCGGCCUAUCAGUUUGUUGGUGAGGUAAUGGCCCACCAAGACUAUUACAGGUACGGGCUCUGAGAGGAGUGGCCCGGAGAUGGGUACUGAGACACGGACCCAGGCCCUAUGGGGCGCAGCAGGCGAGAAAACUUUGCAAUGUGCGAAAGCACGACAAGGUUAAUCCGAGUGGUUUCUGCUAAAGGAACCUUUUGACGGUCCUAAAAACACUGUUGAAUAAGGGGUGGGCAAGUUCUGGUGUCAGCCGCCGCGGUAAAACCAGCACCUCAAGUGGUCAGGAGGAUUAUUGGGCCUAAAGCAUCCGUAGCCGGCUUUGUAAGUUUUCGGUUAAAUCCAUAUGCUCAACAUAUGGGCUGCCGGGAAUACUGCACAGCUAGGGAGUGGGAGAGGUAGACGGUAUUCGGUAGGAAGGGGUAAAAUCCUUUGAUCUAUUGAGGACCACCUGUGGCGAAGGCGGUCUACCAGAACACGUUCGACGGUGAGGGAUGAAAGCUGGGGGAGCAAACCGGAUUAGAUACCCGGGUAGUCCCAGCUGUAAACGAUGCAGACUCGGUGAUGCGCUGGCUUGUGGCCAGUGCAGUGCCGCAGGGAAGCCGUUAAGUUUGCCGCCUGGGAAGUACGUACGCAAGUAUGAAACUUAAAGGAAUUGGCGGGGGAGCACCACAAGGGGUGAAGCCUGCGGUUC
rnacentral:rRNA from 1 species